rnacentral:rRNA from 1 species
CGGACGGGUGAGUAACGCGUAGGAAUCUGCCUUGAAGAGGGGGAUAACCCGAGGAAACUCGGGCUAAUACCGCAUAAUCUCGCAAGAGAAAAGCUGGGGAAACCUGGCGCUUUAAGAGGAGCCUGCGUCUGAUUAGCUAGUUGGUGGGGUAAAAGCCUACCAAGGCGAUGAUCGGUAGCUGGUCUGAGAGGAUGAUCAGCCACACUGGGACUGAGACACGGCCCAG